GCUGGGCACAGUGGUGUAUGCCUGUAAUCCCUGUGGCUUGGGAGGCUGAGACAGGAGGAUUGCAAGCUCAAAGCCAGUCUCAGCAAUGGUGAGGCUCUAAGCAACUCAGUGAGAUCCUGUCUCUA
rnacentral:sRNA from 1 species